rnacentral:rRNA from 1 species
AUUGAACGCUGGCGGCAUGCCUUACACAUGCAAGUCGAACGGUAACGCGGGGCAACCUGGCGACGAGUGGCGAACGGGUGAGUAAUGCAUCGGAACGUGCCCAGAAGUGGGGGAUAGCCCGGCGAAAGCCGGAUUAAUACCGCAUGAGACCUGAGGGUGAAAGCGGGGGAUCGCAAGACCUCGCGCUUUUGGAGCGGCCGAUGUCAGAUUAGCUAGUUGGUGGGGUAAAGGCCUACCAAGGCGACGAUCUGUAGCUGGUCUGAGAGGACGACCAGCCACACUGGGACUGAGACACGGCCCAGACUCCUACGGGAGGCAGCAGUGGGGAAUUUUGGACAAUGGGCGCAAGCCUGAUCCAGCCAUGCCGCGUGCGGGAAGAAGGCCUGCGGGUUGUAAACCGCUUUUGUCAGGGAAGAAACGCUCUGGGCUAAUACCCUGGGGUAAUGACGGUACCUGAAGAAUAAGCACCGGCUAACUACGU